rnacentral:rRNA from 1 species
UACGUAGGGGGCUAGCGUUGUCCGGAAUCAUUGGGCGUAAAGCGCGUGUAGGCGGUCCGGUAAGUCCGCUGUGAAAGUCGGGGGCUCAACCCUCGAAUGCCGGUGGAUACUGUCGGGCUAGAGUGCGGAAGAGGCGAGUGGAAUUCCUGGUGUAGCGGUGAAAUGCGCAGAUAUCAGGAGGAACACCAAUGGCGAAGGCAGCUCUCUGGUACAUGAUUGACGCUGAGACGCGAAAGCGUGGGGAGCGAACAGG